CCUACGGGUGGCAGCAGUGGGGAAUAUUGGACAAUGGGCGAAAGCCUGAUCCAGCCAUGCCACGUGUGUGAAGAAGGCCUUCGGGUUGUAAAGCACUUUCAGUGGGGAAGAAAGCCUUGGGGCUAAUACCCUCGAGGAAGGACAUCACCCACAGAAGAAGCACCGGCUAACUCCGUGCCAGCAGCCGCGGUAAUACGGAGGGUGCGAGCGUUAAUCGGAAUUACUGGGCGUAAAGCGCGCGUAGGCGGUCUGAUAAGCCGGUUGUGAAAGCCCCGGGCUCAACCUGGGAACGGCAUCCGGAACUGUCAGGCUAGAGUGCAGGAGAGGAAGGUAGAAUUCCCGGUGUAGCGGUGAAAUGCGUAGAGAUCGGGAGGAAUACCAGUGGCGAAGGCGGCCUUCUGGACUGACACUGACGCUGAGGUGCGAAAGCGUGGGUAGCAAACAGGAUUAGAUACCCCGGUAGUC
rnacentral:rRNA from 1 species